GACGAACGCUGGCGGCGUGCCUAAUACAUGCAAGUCGAACGCACUCUCGUUUAGAUUGAAGGAGCUUGCUCCUGAUUGAUAAACAUUUGAGUGAGUGGCGGACGGGCGAGUAACACGUGGGUAACCUGCCCUAAAGUGGGGGAUAACAUUUGGAAACAGAUGCUAAUACCGCAUAAAACCUAAACACCGCAUGGUGUAGGGUUGAAAGAUGGUUUCGGCUAUCACUUUAGGAUGGACCCGCGGUGCAUUAGUUAGUUGGUGAGGUAAAGGCUCACCAAGACCGUGAUGCAUAGCCGACCUGAGAGGGUAAUCGGCCACACUGGGACUGAGACACGGCCCAGACUCCUACGGGAGGCAGCAGUAGGGAAUCUUCCACAAUGGACGAAAGUACUGAUGGAGCAACGCCGCGUGAGUGAAGAAGUUUCGGAUCGUAAAACUCUAGUUGUUGGUAGAAGAAUAGUAUCUGAUAGUAACUGAUCAGGUA
rnacentral:rRNA from 1 species